CCUACGGGAGGCAGCAGUGGGGAAUCUUGCGCAAUGGGCGAAAGCCUGACGCAGCCAUGCCGCGUGAAUGAUGAAGGUCUUAGGAUUGUAAAAAUUCUUUUCACCGGGGACGAUAAUGACGGUACCCGGAGAAGAAGCCCCGGCUAACUUCGUGCCAGCAGCCGCGGUAAUACGAAGGGGGGCUAGCGUUGCUCGGAAUUACUGGGCGUAAAGGGAGCGUAGGCGGAUAGUUUAGUCAGAGGUGAAAGCCCAGGGCUCAACCUUGGAAUUGCCUUUGAUACUGGCUAUCUUGAGUAUGGGAGAGGUUAGCGGAACUCCGAGUGUAGAGGUGAAAUUCGUAGAUAUUCGGAAGAACACCAGUGGCGAAGGCGGCUAACUGGCCCAUUACUGACGCUGAGGCUCGAAAGCGUGGGGAGCAAACAGGAUUAGAUACCCUGGUAGUCCACGCCGUAAACGAUGAGUGCUAGUUGUCGGGCAUGCAUGCAUGUCGGUGGACGCAGCUAACGACAUUAAGACACCUCCGCCGUCGGGGAGGUACGGUCGGCGAGAAGUUAAACUUAACUAAAUAGUUAAGUUAGUACGGCGUUGAGACGUUGCCGACGGACGACGACGAGGGGAGGUUAGG
rnacentral:rRNA from 1 species